UUUUUAAAGGGAUAGAAUAGAUGAAAAGGAAAGUGAAAGCGAAACCACAAAUGGUAAGACCUGGAGCUUGCUGUGAGAAUUAGAGGUUGCCUUUCGAGACUGUUAGAGAAACCUCGGAAAGUCCUUGGGGUGUCCUUUCUAAGAGAGAAACGCAACAAAGACUGCUGUUCCCUCACCUCCUGGAAAGUUCCUGAAGAUGCCUGCAGUACAGACUCAGAGAAAGAGCACCCUCGUCAAUGAGCGCUGUCCUCACAGGUUCCAGGAUCACCUAGACGCUGGGUGCCUCUGAACCGAGGAGCAAGGCCUGGGCCAUGUCUGCACCCCGCUUCCCUGAGUCGACAACAGGGUCCUUGCUUUGCAGUUGCACCUAAAUACUGCCAGGAAAAACCACAGGGAAGGUGCUAACCCCCAGCAGAGCCAGCAUUUGGCUCCAGGUAUGGAGGUGCUGUGAGCCCCUGUGACGUGUGAAAUGGCAUGUGUAUUUUCUGGCAAAGACACUCUGAAUUUAAACAGAUUCUGAACUGGGUUUGUGACCUUCCCCGUGACACAGGCCUCCCAGAACUCUGCAAGGGAGAGGCUAUGUGGGCAUGUCCUUUUAAAAAACUGACUUUAUUUUCUCAGUCAAUUGCUUGAGAUAUUGUGGGAGAAACUCUUUAGGAGGCCUAAUAAAAUCAGGAUAUGGUCACAAGCAAAAUUUGUGCUGUAACCUGCUUCUGUUACAAGUCCCAUGUAGAAAUAGAUACUUCUCAAAAAAAGUUUACUAUAGCAAAUACAGUCAUUUAACACACACACACACAGUAGGGUUUUUAGUUGCCUUGUUUUCAAAGUCACAGUGUAAAAGACCCUCAAGCCCUACUUCAGCCACAGACGGCUGGCAAGGAGGCUGCUUUAAUCUCGGAAGUGGCCCCAGUCUUGUCAGUGAGGAAGUACCAGGCAGCAAAUGUUGAGAUUUUAGAGUAGUUUAAUGUUCAUUGUUUUGGGGCGGUGGGGGGUGGGGUGCAUUUUGAAAUUAUCAGGACUAACAAUUUAAAAAGGGUAGAACAAAGGAAAGAUGGAGAACUCAAAC
ensembl:lncRNA